rnacentral:rRNA from 1 species
UACAGAGGUCUCAAGCGUUGUUCGGAUUCAUUGGGCGUAAAGGGUGCGUAGGCGGCGCGGUAAGUCGGACGUGAAAUCCCUGAGCUCAACUCAGGAACUGCAUCCGAAACUAUUAGUCUGGAGUGGUGAAGAGGGAAGCAGAAUUCCUGGUGUAGAGGUGAAAUUCGUAGAUAUCAGGAGGAACACCGGUGGCGAAGGCGGCUUCCUGGACACUAACUGACGCUGAGACGCGAAAGCGUGGGGAGCAAACAGG